rnacentral:rRNA from 1 species
AGAGUUUGAUCCUGGCUCAGAACGAACGCUGGCGGCGUGGAUAAGACAUGCAAGUCGAGCGCUGAUUAUAGGGUAGCACUAUCCUGUAGUCGGAGCGGCGCAAGGGUGCGUAACACGUGGGUAAUCUGCCAUGAAGUUUGGGAUAACUUGCUGAAAGGCGAGCUAAUACCGGAUGUGACCGUUGGGAGGCAUCUCCUGAUGGUUAAAGUUGGGGACCGUAAGGCCUGACGCUUCAUGAUGAGCCCGCGGCCUAUCAGCUAGUUGGUGAGGUAACGGCUCACCAAGGCUAAGACGGGUAGCUGGUCUGAGAGGACGACCAGCCACACUGGAACUGAGACACGGUCCAGACACCUACGGGUGGCAGCAGUCGAGAAUUUUUCACAAUGGGCGCAAGCCUGAUGGAGCGACGCCGCGUGGGGGAUGAAUGGCUUCGGCCCGUAAACCCCUGUCAUUCGCGAUCAAACCUCGCUAUUUAAAAGAUGGCGAGCUGAUAGUAGCGGAAGAGGAAGGGACGGCUAACUCUGUGCCAGCAGCCGCGGUAAUACAGAGGUCCCAAGCGUUGUUCGGAUUCACUGGGCGUAAAGGGUGCGUAGGUGGUGAGGUAAGUCGGAUGUGAAAGCUCGGAGCUCAACUCCGAAAUGGCAUUGGAAACUACCUUGCUCGAGGGUUGGAGGGGGGACUGGAAUUCUCGGUGUAGCAGUGAAAUGCGUAGAUAUCGAGAGGAACACCAGUGGCGAAGGCGAGUCCCUGGACAACUCCUGACACUGAGGCACGAAAGCUAGGGGAGCAAACAGGAUUAGAUACCCUAGUAGUCC